AUACGGAGGGGGCAAGCGUUGUUCGGAAUUACAGGGCGUAAAGGGCGCGUAGGCGGAUUGUCAAGUCAGAGGUGAAAGCCCUGGGCUCAACCUGGGAACUGCCUUUGAAACUAACAGUCUAGAGGCCGAGAGAGGAUGGCGGAAUUCCCAGUGUAGAGGUGAAAUUCGUAGAUAUUGGGAAGAACACCAGUGGCGAAGGCGGCCAUCUGGCUCGGUACUGACGCUGAGGCGCGAAAGCGUGGGGAGCAAACAGGAUUAGAAACCCCAGUAGUCC
rnacentral:rRNA from 1 species